UUUCCGUAGGUGAACCUGCGGAAGGAUCAUUAACACAAAAAGCUUGCGUACGCAUGCACCCAUGCAUACUGCGCAUCUUUUUUACCCCCCUUUGUGCAAACGUGUUUUUUUACUUACAGUUUCUCCCGGGACGUGUUGGUGCGUGUGUGUGACGGAGGAGACUACUCCUCCCGAACCCCGCUUCCCCGCACGCCUGUGGUUUACACAACUUUAAUUAAACCCCUUGAACUUUUUUGGACUGAAAUCUGAGAAUGGGGAUUGUUUAUUCAAAUCCAUAUUCUCUGCCAUUAUAUCAAAACGCUGAACAACUCUUAGCAACGGAUAUCUUGGCUCUC
rnacentral:misc_RNA from 1 species